AGAUGUAAACUGUAAACUCUGACUCUGAGUUGAACUUUUGGUGCAAACAUGUGCCAUGUUGAUUAGUGAUUAUAUGGUGAACUGGAAGCUUUGUGCUGUCACAUGCUCUUGUAAUUGACUGCAUUGAGUGUUAAUUAGUGGUGUUUCUAUUUUUUUUCUGUCUGUUGGUUUCAUAACUGAUAGCUUUAUUUGAAGAGUUUUCUUUCGGUUUCCUUGAAAAAUAUAUUAAUACAAGUUUUUUUUCCAGAUUUGCUUGCUUUGCAGGGAGCGGGGUCAUAGUCUAAAGAACUGUCCUAACAAAAGCGAGGGAAAUUUGAAGAAAUUUGCUAUAACUGUGGUGAAUCUGGACACUCUCUUUCCAAGUGCCCCAAGCCCAUUGAGAAUGGGUUACGAAUUUUGCAAGCUGCUUUAUCUGCAAUCAGCAAGGGCAUUUGAGCAAAAACUGCCCUAAAACAAACAUGGCAUCUAUCCAAAGCUGAUCACUCUUAAAAAACUGACGGGUCCUGGUGUGAGUGGCAGAACUAUUGGAUAGGAUCGCCCUGAGGGAACUCAACAUCACCACUGUUGUACAAAAGUAGGCCAAUUGACAUAUGCACUUUGUUCAUUUAUGUUGGUCGAUUCUACCCAGUUUAAAGAGAGACUAAAAUGUGGGCGUUGUUGCUGGUAUUGGAGCUUAAUCACAUCCUGAUUAUUCAAGAUAAAUAUAGUGAUCAAAUGUGACAUGUUUAUUCAAGAUAAAUAUAUCCUGUUACUGAACAGAUACAAUGGAUUCAACUUCAGUCAAGACCAAUAUACAAUGGAUUUGGCUUCAGUCAAGACUAGAUUGCUUCAUAUCCAUGCUGGCCCUAUGGUCCAGUAACAUUAUUUCCACUUUGAAAAUUGAAAAUGAUAGUAUUAGUGUAUUACUAUUGUACAUUGUUUUAUGUACAUGUUUUUUGAUUUUGCAAAUAAAAAAAAAUUGUGCUGCAGUUUACCGUGAAUUUGAUGGUCUAGCUUAUUUAAUACAGAAGGUAAGCAUGUAAGCUUUUGUUAGGUAAGUACUCCAAGUUAAGUAAUUUCUCAUCUUCAUGACUGCAGAAACCAAGAAGUAUGACUAAGUUUCUGUGAUCAGAAUGCCUUCGUUUCUAUACUUCUGGAUCACUUGAACAAAUGUGACAGUUGCUAAGCUUUUUUAUAAUGUUUGUCACA